rnacentral:rRNA from 1 species
UACGAAGGGGGCUAGCGUUGUUCGGAAUUACUGGGCGUAAAGCGCGCGCAGGCGGUCUUCCAAGUCAGUGGUGAAAGCCCGGAGCUCAACUCCGGGACUGCCAUUGAAACUGUAAGACUUGAGGAUGAGAGAGGUGAGUGGAAUUCCCAGUGUAGAGGUGAAAUUCGUAGAUAUUGGGAAGAACACCGGUGGCGAAGGCGGCUCACUGGCUCAUUACUGACGCUCAGGCGCGACAGCGUGGGGAUCAAACAGG